rnacentral:rRNA from 1 species
GAUGAACGCUGGCGGUCUGCUUAACACAUGCAAGUCGAACGGAAUCCUUAGGGAUUUAGUGGCGGACGGGUGAGUAACACGUAAGAACCUGCCUCUAGGACGGGGACAACAGUUGGAAACGACUGCUAAACCCGGAUGAGCCGAAAGGUAAAAGAUUAAUCGCCUAGAGAGGGGCUUGCGUCUGAUUAGCUAGUUGGUGAGGUAAGAGCCCACCAAGGCGACGAUCAGUAGCUGGUCUGAGAGGAUGAUCAGCCACACUGGUUCUGAGACACGGCCCAGACUCCUACGGGAGGCAGCAGUGGGGAAUUUUCCGCAAUGGGCGAAAGCCUGACGGAGCAAGACCGCGUGGGGGAGGAAGGUUCUUGGAUUGUCAACCCC